UACAGAGGGUGCGAGCGUUGCUCGGAAUUAUUGGGCGUAAAGGGCGCGUAGGCGGCGCGGUAUGUCACCUGUGAAAUCUCCUGGCUCAACUGGGAGCUUGCAGGCGAAACUGCCGUGCUGGAGUGUGGGAGAGGUGCGUGGAAUUCCUGGUGUAGCGGUGAAAUGCGUAGAUAUCAGGAGGAACACCUGUGGCGAAAGCGGCGCACUGGACCACAACUGACGCUGAGGCGCGAAAGCUAGGGGAGCAAACAGG
rnacentral:rRNA from 1 species